UUCAGGCGUGUAGUUUUUCCUAUCUACAGGCCUUCAACUGUUCCUGUGGGCCUGUGUCUGGAGUUCACCAGGCAGGUCACUUGCAGCAGAAAAGUUGGUCUUACCUGUGGUCCCGAGGCUCAAGUUUGCUCGUGGGGUGCUGCCUACGAGCUCUCCGCGGUGGCAGCAACCAGGAAGAUCUGCGCCGCCGUUUCCGGGAGCCUCAGUGCACCAGGGCUCCAGAUGGCCUUUGGUGUUUUCCUCUGGCGUCAGAGAUGUGUGCAGAGUGCAGUCUCUUCUGAUUUCCCAGGCGUGUCUGCCUCUCUGAAGGUUUAGCUCUCCCUCCCACGGGAUUUGGGUGCAGAGAACUGUUUAUCCGGUCUGUCCUAAAUUCUUUUGUUUUAUUGAUGAAAAAUGUCCCUGGUUAAUUUUAAACAGUGUGUGGCUGAGGGUGACAAGUGUGCAGGCCUGCUAACAAGCAAGCUGCAGGCUGUGCGUGGGCAACAGCACAGCUCAGGCCAAGUCAGCAUAAGAAGAGUUUCAAGGUGAGGAAGCCAGCGCAGAAACAGGGAUGUAUUGGGGAUGCUACAGAAGUGUGCCAGCUGCCUGCGUGUCUGGUGAGACAUGCUGAUCCUGGGAGCAUGAAGAUUCAGCUCUCCUGGUUCGGGACCGUGGAGUCAUUCCUGUGCCCUUGAAAGAAGAUGGAGACUUUUUAGGAUUUACCCUCACCGAGCACAGGAAGAUAACAUUCAAGGGAUGCCUCAGCUUGAGCAGAUACCAGUUAUCUCCUGAGUCAACACCCGGUGUCUCCACCGCAUGACCUCAUCGUCUACCGCCUGACCUCUUUGCCUCCUGCUAUCACUGACUAUAUCCUCAUCCCUCCAUCCUUUGUGUUUCACAAAGGACACUCCCCCUACCUGAAAGCCUUAAAAGCUGGAACGUUCACCCCAAUAAAUGAGACCUUGACAAUA